rnacentral:lncRNA from 1 species
GAGAAAUGAAAUUUCAUUAAAGAAAUAAGACAAAAGCAAGCUAUCUACCUAUAUUAACCAACAGCUAGAGAUUCCCAUAAGCAGGAUCGUAUUAGUUAACUGGGAUAUUAUCCCAAAAGGAUAUAUUUAUUUUGGAGGAACGAUGAACAUCAGUAGGAGCGCCAGCUAGCUUAGCACUAGCAAUAGCCUCGCUAGGAGGAACAAUUGGAGGAUUCCCAAGUUGGGUAGUUUCGAUAGAAGUAGGCAUGUUGUCUGAAGCCUCAAUGGUUAACGGAGUAUCCUCAGAAGAUAGGGUUUCUCGGCAUCCUUUCUACGAGCCUCCAAGAAAUCCAUCUCAGGAUGGAAACUCCUAAUAAUUUCAAGAACUUUAUUACCCUCCUCUUGUAUGGCCUCCUCAAUAAGCUUUGCCUCAGAAAUGCUAGACUCCAUAAGAGCUAAUUUAUAGCGGUACUUUCCUACUGGUUAUGAAGUAACACCUUUUCAUUCCUAGCCUUGUCAAGGUCCUUGGAGAUAGAAUAUUGAUCGGCCUUAACUAAUUGAAGUUCCUCAAGGCAUAAAAUCUUACUAUCAGUUUUGACAACAUAAACUGAAUGGCUUUCCUUGGCCAACUCUAAAUCUCUGGAGAUCCAUUUAACGUCGGCCACCAAGGAAGCCUCCCUUGUAGCAAAGACCUUAGUGUCCCUGCUCAUCUUUUUGGACUUUUUCUUCUCAUUCUCAACUAUUUUUGAAGAUUUUCACACCUCUUCUCCAAAGAAUUGGCUUUCUUCUCCAAUUUGUCUACUUACAAAACAUAAACAUCAUACUUUAUCUACUAGUCAUGAUGAAGUGUAGUCAAGAAAGAUGAGCAUUCAUCAAGUUUCUAGUUUGCUGUGGGGGUUAGCCCUUCUGCAAACUUCUCCCAAGAGGAAUUAAAAUACAAAUAAGAGAAUUUAGUCGCCCUAGAAACAAAGGGGGCAAGUGUUGAUGCGAUAGAAGAAUAAAACUUAGGAUCUAUGAUCAGCUUAAGCCUGCCUAGCAUUGUUAUCGUUCCUUUAGAAGAGUCUCUAGCAAGGACCGACAAUGAAGGUGAUCCAAACUCCAAGUGCGAAGACCCUUGAGUUAAAGUAGCAAUAGUAAAAUGCAAAUCGCUAGCCCCUUGAGAGGGCGGAGUUCACCUAGUCACACCUUUGCCCUCGCAUGGAGAUAUAUUCUUAGCAUCCCUAGAACUCUCAGAGGCAAGGCCAAACCUUUAGGUGCAGGCAAAAUUUUCUGAUGCUUGUAGACGAGAUUAAAAUCAACCCUCAUAGUAGUGUACAAAUAAAUGAAAUAGUGUAAGGAAACCUAAAAAACGAAACACCAAUAAAGUUAGAAUUAACACUUUCUUUAUUCAAUGUAACAUUGACAAAUAAUAGCAAACUAUAAAAAUGAUAAAAAGGGCACUCUAAGCCCUACAUCCAUCUAUUGUUUAUGAGAGACUGUACAGCCUUGGGAGGAAAAGUCUGUAAUUUAUUAUUAUUUAGAACACAAUAAUUCUAUAUCAUUAGAGAUGAUAAAUCAACUCCAGAUCUCACUUACAUUCCUCUCGCUACGACAAGUAAAACUAUGAGGCUUCAUAGACCUCUCCAACAUUGCUACUGGACUUUUCAAAAGUGCGCAUACUUCGGUACACACUUCGACCCUAAGUUAGGAUUCCAAGUUAACUUUGGAAUAGAAAGAAAUAAUAUUAGCGUGGCAUAACUUUCCAAGUACAUUGAACAUCUUCAAAGAAAAAAUAGCACUGGAAGAGGUAUCCACAAAUCUAGACCUUACAGCUUCAAAGCCAAGGAAUGUGUUCUGAAUCACUUCUUAAAAAAGUAAAGAAAAACAAGGUGUAAAAGAAAGAUAAAAUAGAAGUACGUACCUAAAUCAAAAGUCUUGAAUGAUAGUAAAAGAAAGCAGAGUCACGAAUGAGCAAGAAUAUCACUGUAAAAAUGAGAUAAAGCAGAAAAA